rnacentral:pre_miRNA from 1 species
GAGCCCCGUUGUGGGGAAUGUCGCAUGGCCCGAAUCCAUCUACGGCUCGGCCUUGUGCUGGAGCAUGGGGUGAAUUCGGACCAGGCUUCAUUCCCCUCAGCACGGCUC